CUUCUUCGCUCACGCGGCGUCGCUGCAUCAGGGUUUCCCCCAUUGUGCAAUAUUCCCCACUGCUGCCUCCCGUAGGCUGACUGUAGGGAAUUUUCGUCAAUGGGGGCAACCCUGAACGAGCAAUGCCGCGUGAGCGAAGAAGGUCUUCGGAUUGUAAAGCUCUGUUGACCGGGGAAAAAGGAAGGAAAGAGGAAAUGUCUUUUUCUUUGGAUGGUACCCGGCCAGAAAGUCACGGCUAACUACGUGCC
rnacentral:rRNA from 1 species